ACACCUCCACACCCCCCCACCCCCCCCCACUUUAAAGUCACGGUCAACUCUCUCAUGAAGUCUUCGCACCCUUAUAUUCUUAGAUCUCCUUGCAGUAUAUCUGCUUCUCGGAAAACAACCCAAAUAUAAUUUAGACAAGGCCCUCAUAGGAUGUAGAGGUCCUGGAUGAGCGGGACCAGCAGCCUCUGCGAGUAUGUCAUCUACAUACACCACGCCCUUGUGGUGACGUAUUCGGAAUUCCUGUCUUCCCCUCCCUGACACCCCGCCUACUAAGACAGCACGGGUAGAGCAGCGUCUUUCGCUUUGCUGCACACAGAGCAGUCCCUGAGGGACCCGCUACUGUGGCGGGUACUUGUUCGGGUCUCGGUCUCACUUUCCUUUUCAGCAAAAAGGAAAUUGCAGUCCGUUCAGUUUUCGCCUGCCGGACAGCGAUCAUCAUCAUAAGAGAUUUUCCUCUCGCCCUCCCUUAAACAUUGAGUACUAAGAUUUCCCCAUCCAACUUAACAAGAAGUCGUUUUGCGGUGGCAUCUUUCUUAGUAGGUCUAUCAUAAAUAACUUGAACAGACAUAGCAACUAAACCCAGUAAAACCUCAAAGAAAAAGAUAAAACCAAGAGUUUAACCUUGAAAAAAUAAACCAGGAUAAAAUACAAACUUCUUCCACCAUGCAAAUCGUGCAGUAGCUGAGCACAGAAUACUAAAAAGCGUUUUAAAACAUUUGAGAAGCCCAGCGCAGUAGCACUGGCCUGUAAUCCCAACCACUCAGAAGGCCGCCUAAGCCAGGAGUAUAGCAAGGUCAAGGCCAGGCUCAAUAAUUUAGUGAGAUUCUGUCUCAAAAUAAAAAAUAAAAAGUACCGGGGAUGUAGUUCAGUGGUAGAGCACUCCCUGGUUCAAUUCCCAGGACCAAAAAAAAAAAAAAGAAUAAAAUUAACAAAACCACUUGAGGGAGUCUAGCCUAGGUCCGAGGCGGACAAGCAUGGAGGUUGUGUCCUGUCAGUGGGGCUGCUGGUUCUGGCUCCUAGGUCUGGCAGCAUAGAAGGGUCCUGUUUAGGAUCGGGUGGCCUCAGAAGUCACGCCUGAGACCCGGACUUCUAAGGUGAAGAAAAUGCUCGAACAGCAGGCCCCCUGAAGAGUGGAAGGGCAAUGGAUUGGAAAACUUCGACAUGGGGAGAAGAAACGUGAUUUAAAAUAAAGAACCUUCAAGACAUUAUGUUUCUUUUUUGUAGCAUUCUGGAAAAUUUGAGAACAAGUUGGCGACAUCUUUCAGCUGGAACCAUUGCUCAUCAAGUUUGCUGAGAAGCUAAUGAUUUUAUUACAGAAAGCUACAUCGUCAUGUACAGUGUCCAGGUGCAGUGGUGUAUGACUUUAAUCCCAGUCACCUUGGAGGCUAAGGAGGGAGGAUCGCAUGAGCCCAUGAAUUGGAGACCGCCUGUGCAACAGAAAUUGGAGAAUGAAAAUGAAAAGUUCAUGGAAAAAAAAUGGAUUUAAGUAAGUCUGCAGUACCAUUUUCUGGGAACUGGCCUUUGAUGAUGGUCUUCUGAACUUCUCUUGGCUUUCUUGCAUCAGGGCCCUAUUUGCUAUUGUGUCAUCCUUUGCAUUUUGGGUCAUCAUCUCAUUUGGGUAGAGCACAUCCUUUUGCAGCUUCCUUAGCAAUGAGUGUGUGGGAGGUACAUUUUUGUGUUGUUUUGUAUAUAUGAUGUCUAAGUUGAUAUAGAAGUCUAAAGUUUUCUACAUAUGCUUUGAUUUUGUUUUGUUAAAUCCACCAUGCGACCAGCGCACUGGUUUCAUUAAUGAGGUUCUUGGCAUAAAAGUUAGCUAGUGAGAUCGAAAUAAAACACACAGACUCAGUUACCUUUUUCUAUGACCAGGCCCUAGACGGCUCCCCUCUCUGUUUCCCACCUCGAACCACCCUGUAGGCCAGCAAGGAUUACUCAGGGCUAGCAGGAGAGAGACAGAGGGAGCACGCCAGGGAGUAGCCUUUUAUUGGGGAACAAGAAAUUCAGGGGAGAAUUCCAUCCAAUGAAGGUUGAGGGGGGCCACACUCCAAGGUCAGGGUCAGUGAUUGGCCCCCAGGGUCAGUGGUCAGUCACGCCCCCACAUGGACAGGCUCUCUCAUCAGGAAAGGGCCGGGAAAGCUCCAACACAGUUAGCCAGAGCGCCUCAGACCCAAACCGGGAGUUGCCCAGUCACGUGUGAGAAUGGCUUCCCACAGUUAAACAUUAUAGUUUCUGCUGUCGGGAUUCUUUCACACAUGGAGUUCAGAGGGAGGCAGUCCUAGGACUGGUUCGGUCUCCCAGGGGUGUCAUGAGGACACAGACUUCCCUCUUCUUCGAGCUCCUAUAUCUUCAUCCUGUCAACCUGAAGACCAGGGUUUUAGGCUUUAGCUUUUAAAGUGUCUAUUCACAAGUCAGGCAAGGAAGAAACAGUUACCUCUACAGUUUGAAGGAAAAAGUCUGCAGAAUAUGCCACACAAAUUUUGGGAAUGCUACCUAGAAUUUGAUUUUCAUUUCCAUUUUGUCUAAGAGGUGUCAUUGACUUCUGAUUUGUCCACCGCUGUACUGAAACUUCUACUUUGGGAUUUAAAUGUUUAAUUUUAUUCUUGACAUAUGAAUAUUCUUGACAUGAAUAUUCUUCUUUCAUACAACUUAUUUAAAGAUUGAACUAUUCUAUAUAUAUUUUUUUCAACCAAGAGUUUCAUUAGGGGGCUGCCGGAAGAGGAAGAAAAGGAGAGGCAAAGAGCAGAGAGAAGAGAGAAAGAGGUCAGAGAGCAGAGGGGAAGAGGGCAGAGACCGUGAGCUUGCAAGCUUCGGCUUAAGAAGGGUUGCGUAGGCUAUGUGGAGGGUGUCCCACGGGGAUUGGUUGAGAGAACUUUUGCAUUUGGUGCUCUUUGGCUUGGCAUUCUUGGAGAGGAGGGGGAGGGGUAAGGGAUUCCAAGAUGUUCUUGCAAGAUGGAAACUUAACUUCAGAGGGGAGUGUCACCCACACACCCAACAUUCCUCCCUUUUUGUUUUAUGUUGGGAGCAGGGCGACAAGAUCCACAAGAUCAUCUAUUUCCUGCUGGAGAGGGACAAGUGUGAAGGAAGGGAGGCUGGUCAGGGUGCGGGGACAAAAGAAGCAUAGCUGUGAAGGCCAGGGUGCUGAAGAUGUGAAUUUCCUUGCGGCUGAAAUCGAUGAAAGUUCCUCGAAGCCACAGGUCAUGGAUAGUCUCUAUCCAACCCUUGUCCCUUGUCCUGUUGGAGGGCCUCCAGGAACUCCACGAACCAGCCAGCCACGCUGCAUGAGCCUGAAAACACCAAAGAUACCAUUCAUAGGCUGAUGGUGGAUUCGAAGGAGGCCAACGAGAAAAUGGGCGCUGGUUAGUCUCCGCUCACGUGGUGAUCUCUGGUGGGAUGGGAGUCCUGCUUAAAAGCAGGGGAGUCCCAUCCUAGUCUGGGCACCAAUGAAAGGCGAAUGACUCACGAGACAGAGAUUCAACCAAGAGAUUUUACUGGGGUCUGCCCAAAGAGGAAGAAAAGGAGAGGUAGAGCAGAGAGAGGAGAGGGAGAAGAGGAAGAGAGCAGAGAGCUGAACAUGUUCUACAUUUUUGAAGUAAUAAAUUCAUGGUAUCUAAAAAAAAAGCAUUUGAGGAUGAGGAAAGUAGCUCAGUGGUAGACUGUUUUCCUAGCAUGUAUGAAGUCCUGGGUUCAAACCCCAGCACCAUACACACAAAGCACAAACAACAGCAGAAAAACACACUCUUGAAAGAUUUCAAAUGUAUUGUUAUGUUUUAUUCAUGGUUUUUUUUUUUUUUGGUGGUGCUGGGGGGAAUUGAACUCAGAGCCUUGUGCAUCUAAGGCAAGCAUUCUACCAACUGAGCUAUAUCCCCAGCCCUAUUGUUAUGCUUUAUAGUCAAUCCAUGCUACCUGAAAAAUUCUUUUUAAUCUAUUCAACCUUCAUUUUGUAUUUAGAUGGUGAGUCAUCCACAAGUCAUCUUUAGCCAGUAAAGGGAACAUUUUUAUAUCUUUAUUACUCCUCCCAUUGAGAGGUGGAGUCUUCUUGAAUCUGGGCUGGCCUUGACCAACAGAAUGUGACAGAAGUGAUACCCAGGAACUUCGGAGGCUAGGUCAGAGGGAGCGAACAGCUUCCACCUGGGAUCCAUCUUGCAGACUUGAACUGUCAAGUAAGAAGGCUGACUGCUCUGAGGCUGCAUGUUGUAAGAAAACCCAAGGCUUUGUGGAGAAAAAUGCAGGUCCAGAGUUUCAGUCCUCAGCUGGCAGUCUGUACAUUGGGGAGCAGAGUAAUCGCUGCCAAAAUUGCAAGUUGGUGAUUAUCAUAAAUUAUUUGUCUCAAAGCCUUCAUGUUUUGAAUUUUUUUUUUGUAGCAAUACAGAAAUGGAACAGAGACAAACAGUAAGCCAACAAACAAUAUGAAAUAGAAGUGGAUAGAAAUAGACUAAGGAAUAGAGAAGAUGAGUUAGAAAGAUUGCAGUUAAAGGCUUAAAUUGUUUAUUUAUAUAUUUAUUUAUUGGUACUGGGGAUUGAAACCAGGGUGCUUGAUAGACCCAACCUGAUCUUUUCUUAAAAUUGGGAGCCAUCUUGCCACAAAGCCAUGAGAAGAUAAUUUCGGCUUUACUAUAAAUUACUGCAAAUUCUGAACCUGCUCGGAAUGCCUGGCUCUCUGACCAGAUAGCAGCCCUCUCUGAAACUUAGUGAUACCUCAUAAAUAUUGGCCUUCCCUGGCCAGACAACGACCCUCUCUGAGGCUCUAAUGGUCUUCAUAAAUUCUGAUGUUGGGGCCAGCAAAAAAUGUAAACUACAUUUAGUGUGAUUCUUGUCAGAGUUCUGUUAUCUGUAACCCCCCUUUGUGUAACUUUCUGGGAUGCAGGAAAGCUGGGGUGCUGUCUUGUUCCCGCCGUUUUGGGAGGGAGAGGCAGCCCCGCCGGUCGAAAUAAUAAGCUUGCUUUAAUUUGAUUUUAAUUGGAGUCAGUGGUCUUUUCUUGCGUCCUGGUCUAACAGUGCUUUUAAUUUAAUUUAAUGUUUUUAUUUUUAUUUUAUUUUAUUUUUGGUACUGGGAUUGAACCUAGAGGCCCUCUACCACUGAGCAAUGCCUCUGGCCCACUUAAUUUUGAGAUAGAGUCUUGCUAAGUUGCCCAGGCUGGCUGGCUUUGAACUUGUGAUUAUCCAGCCUCAGCCUCCUGAAUUUUUGGAAUUGCUGGUCGGUGGCACCACACUCAGCAUGAGGGCUAAAAUUUUAGACAAGAGGGUGAGGAAGUUUCAUUGUUUUGUUACUGGGUAGAGGGUCAUGGGAGGUCCUCCAAAAGGAAGCUGGAUCUCAACUCAGGCUGUGAUUUUCCUUGACAUUGGCACAACAAGGAAUUUAGGUCUGGGUCAAAUUGAGGCACAGGCUAGCCUAGGCAUGGCACGGGUCUGGAUUUGAAGCUAGGCCUGGUUGUGCUGGCCUUGCUGCUGCUGCUGCUGCUUCUAUGGGUGUAUGGGCACUGGAACCAUCAGCCUGGGUCCAGCCCUGGCCAGCAUGCUCACUGGUGCCUCUACUGCCUUUUCACCUAGUGCUAAGGCCAAAAGUGGAGCCUCAGCCUGGAGGCACUGCAGAAGGAUCUGGAUAACAAGCUUUUUGGAUAGCAUCUUGUGCAGAAAGUCAUCUUAAACACUGUGUCUGAUUCCUAAGCAAUCUGGGGCCCAAGAAACCUCUCAUGCCCUCCCUGCAUGGGUGGACAGGCACGGGCAAGAAUUUUGUCAGCAAGAUCAUCUUGGAGAAUAUUUACGAGGGCAGUCUGAACAGUGACUAUGUUCACCUGUUUGUGGCCACAUUGCAUUUCCUUCAUGCCUCAAAUAUCACCCUGUAUAAGGAUCAGUUACAGUGUGGAUUCAAGGCAAUGAGAACUCCUGUGUGAGGUUCAUCUUCAUCUUCGAUGAGAUGGACAAGAUGCACUCUAGUCUCAUAGAUGCCAUCAAGCCUAUUCUGGACUAUUACAAGUGGUGGAUGAGGUCUCUUACCAGAAAGCCAUCUUCCUGUUCCUCAGGUGAGCAAUGCUGGAGCAGAAAGGAUCACAGGUGUGGCUUUGCACUUCUGGAAAAGAGGGAAGAACUCAAGCUCAAGGACAUGGAGCAUGCCUUGUCCAUGGUAGUCUUCAGUAAAUGGAAUAGUGGCUUCUGGCACAGCAGUUUAAUUGACCAAAACCUAAUUGAUUAUUUUGUCCUCUUCUUCCUCCUGGAAUACAAACAUCUGAAAAUGUGCAUCAGGGUUGAGAUGCACCCAGGGUUAUGAGAUUGAUGAGGACAUUAUAAACAGAGAGUGGCUGAAGAGAUGACAUUUUUUCCCCAAGGAAGAGAGUUCGCUGACAAGGGCUACCGAUGAACCCAGCCUAAUACCAUUUUAAGAUUGUUUUAUUAUAAAUUACUGCAAUUUCUAAACUUGUUUGGAAUGCCUGCUCAUGCCUUGAACUCACCCAUGCCUAGCUUUUCUUGACCAGAUAACAACCCUCUACACACACACACACACACACACACACACCAAAACAAAACAUUACAAAAUAAAAAACAUGAAGGCUUUGAGACAAAUAAUUUAUGACAAUCACCAACUUGCAAUUUUGGUAGAGAUUACUCUGCUCCCUACUGUACAUAAGGGUAUAGGCACCUCAUAAAUUCUGGUGUUGGGAUCAAAAUUUACUCUCUAACUUGAAAUGUUGAACCAUCUAGACCAUUAACCUACUAUCUGCCUUUGUAUUAUGCUUGUUAAAAUCCUGUUAUCUGUAAAUUCUCAAGACACUCCCCCUUUUGCAACUUUUUGUGUUGCAACUUUUUGCAACUUUUUGAGGCACAGGCUAGUAGGCUCAGCAGGGGUCUGGAUUUGAAGCUAGGCCUGGCUGUGCUGGCCUGCUGCUGCUGCUGCUUCCAUGCUUCUCUUCCUAGAGAGCUGGGGUACUGAUCUCUAGCCACAGGUUUUCAGGAGAGACAAUCCUGGCCAGAAUUACAAACUUGCUUUAAUUUGAUUUAAAAUUGGAGUCGGUGGUCUUUUCUUUGUGUCAUGGUUUAACACUACAAGACAGUGUUCACCAAGUUGGAUUAUUAUCUUGAUGACUGAUGCCCAAGUCAUUGCUUUGAGAGAAACUCAAUGCUCAGUUUGACCAGCUCCUUUCUUGGGAAGAGAAAUCAAAUGGAUGUUUCCAACUAAUGUUUCCUGUUGGAUGUAUCAGGAAUUCUCCUGGGUCUUGUUCCCAUUCCUGGGAGGCCACACCACCACACCUUACAGGCCCUGGACAUGGAGAGGAAGAUUUCAAGCCUUCAGAGGAGGAAGUAACAACUCCCAGUUCACCCAUUCCAGAGCUCAUGAUUUAAAAAAAAAAAAAAUGUUUUAAUUUUAUGUGUUUCGGUUUCAAGGAAAGACAAGUUUUACUGAAAAUGUGAUAACUUUAUUUAAGAUGUUUUUUAACAUUAUGAGAAACUUUUCAGAUUCAAAAAGAAAGAAAUUGAGGCACAGAUUGAUUUUACUAAGAAGAGAAUCUACACCUACCAAGUGCCAUUUGUAAUCAAGUAUGACUAAGAGACAAGGUAGAAUAUGGGUGUUAAGAGAGGACUGCACUAGCUACAUCUUAGGUAGGCAUAUUUAUAUGUGUAAAAUCUAUAGAAGAAACAUGAUCUAAGGGUAUUUUUAGUCCUCCUCUGUGUUGGUAGCUGAACAUAUUAUAUAACUGUUACCUACUGAGGCAGGAAAAUAACUGAGACAGGCAGAUAGGAAACUUGGGCCCCUCCAGAGUCAGGUUUUUCUGUGUAACGGGGCUGAGAGACCACAGACACAAGCCAGGACUCAUCAAAGUCAGGCCAAUUCCUGCGUAAGUAGAAAAACUACAAAAAAACUUCCAAAAAAAAAAAAAGCUCAGUAAGUGAGUCAGGAGUUCAUGGACACUGAAUGCCUUAUCCAGGAUUGGGUAAGGGGCUAAUUUCCUUAACCCUGUAGACUCAUAUAAACCCCUAGACAACAGAUAUCUUCCCCUGUAGGAGUUCUGAUUUCUUUCUUUGUAUUACUCUAAUAAAUCCUGUUACUUUUCUCUCACCCUUGUGUCUGUGGAUUUCAUUCUUCAAAUUCACUAGACAAAGAACCCACACAAUCCCAUACUCCAAC
rnacentral:lncRNA from 1 species